GAUGAACGCUGGCGGCGUGCCUAAUACAUGCAAGUCGAGCGAGAAGCAUACAGAAGAUUCUUCGGAUGAUUCAGUAUCGUGGAAAGCGGCGGACGGGUGAGUAACGCGUAGGCAACCUGCCCUUAGCACAGGGAUAGCCACUGGAAACGGUGAUUAAUACCUGAUAAUGCAAUCACUUAGCAUUUAGAGAUUGCCAAAGAUUUAUCGGCUAAGGAUGGGCCUGCGUCUGAUUAGCUAGUUGGUGAGGUAACGGCCCACCAAGGCGACGAUCAGUAGCCGACCUGAGAGGGUGAUCGGCCACAUUGGAACUGAGACACGGUCCAAACUCC
rnacentral:rRNA from 1 species